rnacentral:rRNA from 1 species
CCUACGGGUGGCAGCAGUGGGGAAUAUUGCACAAUGGGCGCAAGCCUGAUGCAGCCAUGCCGCGUGUGUGAAGAAGGCCUUCGGGUUGUAAAGCACUUUCAGCGGGGAGGAAGGCGGUGAGGUUAAUAACCUCAUCGAUUGACGUUACCCGCAGAAGAAGCACCGGCUAACUCCGUGCCAGCAGCCGCGGUAAUACGGAGGGUGCAAGCGUUAAUCGGAAUUACUGGGCGUAAAGCGCACGCAGGCGGUCUGUCAAGUCGGACGUGAAAUCCCCGGGCUCAACCUGGGAACUGCAUUCGAAACUGGCAGGCUAGAGUCUUGUAGAGGGGGGUAGAAUUCCAGGUGUAGCGGUGAAAUGCGUAGAGAUCUGGAGGAAUACCGGUGGCGAAGGCGGCCCCCUGGACAAAGACUGACGCUCAGGUGCGAAAGCGUGGGGAGCAAACAGGAUUAGAUACCCGUGUAGUC